GUAACUCUAGGACUUAUUGAAUUUCUCAAUAACAAACAAUCUGGCGUCGCCUGAAGUCGCGUGGUCGCGUGCUCUUCGAUUUCAACAACUAAAUGGUAGUUAAAACGAUGGAAGAAAGUCGGGAGGCUUCGGUUGCAAGUAGGAAUAUCUCAAAUGGACCGGGUGGCGAGCAGAACCCAGUGCAACUUGAUCAUUGUUAUGCAAAACCAUGGAAUUGGCGGCAAGAAAUGGCCCAUUGCAAACCCGCCCGCAUUCUUUUUGCAGAGGAAAAUUUCCCUGUCUGUGGUGAUGAAGUAAUAGAUGUUGAAGUCCCUCUCAUUCCAAAACAUCACCCAAUAUUGAAUAGAGAGAUGACAGAAAAAAAUUAUAUGGAAUCGGUCCAAAAAUUCAAUCUUCUUUUAACAGAGGAAACCUCUUCUGAUUGGGAAGAAACUGUGAAACGAGAUGGUUGGACACCAUUACAAAACAGGAUUUUUAAUAAGGUGGUAAAGCUGCUUGUUGCAGACAACAUGGCUAGGCUAGCUACAGAACAACUUGAAAAUGAAGCCGUACAAAAGAAAAUUAAUGUUGAAGGAUCAGCCAAGAAAUUAAGAAUUAUUUUGUCAUCAGUGGCAUGGGAUGUUAAAAUUACCCAAUGGCUACACUUGACCCUUAUUGAACACCUCAGCCGGGAUUAUUUGUUGUGUUACAUAAACAUCUUGCAAGUGCUUCAGAGCAGAGUGCCUACGUUGGUUGAAAGAAUAUUGAACACCCCACUGACUAAUAACAAGCUCUCUUCGCUGAACAACCAAAUUUUGAACUUUGUUGUUGGCAAACCUUGGGAACCGGCAUUAAAUCCAAGCACUCUGGCAAAUGCCAAAGGUCCCCCUAUGGCACCAUUAAUCAUUAUGGUACCUUCAGGAACCAACAACUAUAAUUCAUUGUCUAGUCUAAACGGAUCGAGGCGCUUCCAGACGUGGCAUAACCUUCUACAGACUUUAGGAAGAGUUACAACGGUUUCCCUCCAGGCAUCACCUUCGCCGCAUACCCUAUCUUUGCCCGUGCUUGUUGAAUCUAUCAUCAAUGCAACCUUACAGAAAGUACAGGAGUUGAAAGCAAGUUGCCCGAAUCGGCCAAUCGUUCUUGCUGGCCUUCAGCAAGGAGCCUUAAUAGCGGCUCAGGUCGCUUACAUGGAGCCAGUUACUGCGUUACUUUGUUUAGGCUUUCCACUUUUCUGUGUGGAUGGUAAGCGAGGUGAACCGGAUGAUUUCAUUCUGGACAUCAAAUGUCCGACGAUGUUGGUGGUUGGUCAAUCUUCUUCGACAUGCACAGUAGAUGGAAUUGAGCAACUCCGGCACCGAAUGAAAGCGGAAUCUUCCCUCAUAGUAGUAGAUGGUGCUGUGGACUCUUUGCGAAUGCUUAAAUGGAAGAGAAAGCUGCAGAAUGUAACCCAGUCUAUGGUGGAUGCUUGCAUUUUGGAAGAAAUUUCUACAUUUUUUUCAACAGUUUUAACCCAAGCAGCUGCCGCGACUACAGGCAAAAAGAGCCCACCUGAGCGUAAAUCAGAUGGGACGCCCUUAGUCGGAGGAGCAACGAAAAGACCAAGGCAUCCUGUAGACACGGAAGAUUCGAUGCAUGCGGCCUUGAGCGGCCAUAAUUAUUCUCAAAGCACUCCAUUCGCCCCGCCGUGGAAAGGUCGUAGCGGGACUGGGCUUCGCGUGCGAGGCGGCCGAGCAGGGCCUGGACAUUCAAGCAAAAUUCCAUAUCAAAGAGCAACCUCCGAAAUGUCACCGUCCACUCCAAAAGGUCGAAUUGCGCGUUCUGUCAGUACUUACCGUGCGCAGCCCAGCUCCGCUGAAAUUUUACCGGCCCGUGGAUUGGCACAGCGAUCAAACACGUCUAAUCCUUUAGACAACGUGGAAAUUGAUUGCAAGUCAAGCGUUGGCAGUUCUCAAGGGUCACCAAAAGAGGAAGGAACACACCCGCUCAUGGAAUGCAAGGGAGGCGGCGACAGCUCCGAGACUGAAUCGGCACCGCCCGCCGAUGACGAUGACGAGAUUAUGGAAGACCUGCGUUUUUGUAAUGAAUUUAUGAAUAAACAACAGCAGAGCCAAGUGCCUCAAAAAGAAGAGGAAGGAAGCAUGCAAGAAGAUGAUUUCUGCCUCAAAUAUUCCGGUGACGAGGCUGAUGACUUACCUCUAGUCGACGUUUGCCGACGACUCAGUGCAGAAAAUCGAAACCGAAAUCAAAACAGCAAGAACACACCUGCGGCGACGCCGGAGUAGAUUAGCCCUUCGUAUUUAUCACAUGUAUCACUCACCUGCCUCUCUCCGACGGGCAGACGUUUCGAAAUCAAUCCUUCAGAGAAAUUUGUGUCUCGAACGGCGUUGAAAGAGACGAAAAGAGGUAACACAUUAAGGGAGGAUCGUGUCGUGUCAUCGUCGCAAGAAAAAUCUCACCGAAGAUGGCCGACCCAGCUGUAAUAGAUCCCGCUCGGCUGAUGGAAAAAAGUUCUCGACUCUCUCGUGCGCGACCAUUUUACACAGUGGAGAAAAAAAAAAAAACCCAAACAAGAAGUUUGUUUUCUCUUUGAAAACCAAAAGAAAGGAAGAAGAAAAAGAAAAAAGCAGGCAGAAAUGGAUAAGAUACAUACAUUAGUUUUUGGUGAUGCUAGUGAGCAGCUAAUGCAACUUAGUGCUCUCUUUCUCCCAAACGGACGCAAUCAUUGACGGGGUAUGUAUAUUUUUGACCCCCGCACGAGGUUGAUGAGGUGUCACUGUUUUCUCUGGCGCCCAAGCGAACGCUCAUUAGCAAGGGCUAUAUGCAAGCUGUACUUCAGGACUACUAGCUGAUGCUUUCGUCCGUCUUCACCAAACAGUUUUCUUCUUCGUCGGCGCUGUCUCUACUGUCUUUAAACAUUCUAAAAGCCAUAUGUGUCACUCUUGCACCGGAUCCGUUUGCUGUGCCCAGUGUGGCGAACGCUGCAUCCGUCGCCGCUAUAUCUCGGAUAAAGACAAGAAAGAAAGAAUUAAAAAAAACAAAAUCAUCUUCCGUAAUUCAUCUGGGGCUGCCCGUCUAUCGGAACAAUAGGUAGAUGCGGAGUCCGUCUCCAUCGUGAUUGAAGAAAGAGAAAUUUCAGCUGGGAAACUGGACGGGGAAAAAAACGAGGUGAGAUGAUUCUCUUGUCUUGAUGAAUAAGUGCGAACUAUUUUCGAGGCGAUGAUUGUCAAAUUUAUUGGUCCAGUGGCUAAUGGAGUCUAGAAGAGAGACGGGGGCAAAAAUGAGAUGGAUGAUCAAUAAUUGGUCAGCACCACAAGAGUUCAUUAGGCGUUGCAAGUCUCCUCACCUUUGAUUGACACAUCGUAUUUUUAGGGCAGUAGUAAAGUAGUCGAGUCUCGUAGUUGUCUACGCUGUUAGUGUGUGUGUGUGUGUGUGUGUGUGUGAAGGAGAGAAAAAGAAAAUCGUCAUCCAUCAUUCCGUCGACUCGAAAAAACAAAACAUAACGUGGGCACACGUAUACGUACACAACUUGCAGAUUGAAUCCAGACUGCGCUUGUGAGUCUUCUUCAUUCUUGAUGAUGAUGAUUUUUUUUUUCUUUUCACUCUUCUUUUCUAUUUUGUUUUUGUUGUUGUUGUUGUCGUAGUCGUCGUCCUUCCUUAGAGUCGUAAAAUCGUGAGACAUUCUCGUCGAGAAAAUGAGGGAGAAAAUGCGGGUCGACGUGUGCGUGUGACGAGAACGCGUGUUGACUUUUCAUUAAAGCGCCGCCGAACGCAACAAAUGAGAGUCGCGCGCCACUGAUUUCUUUUUUCCUUCCAUGGCAUUUUUCGAUUGACAAUCGGCUAUAAAUAGUUAAAUUUAUUUUUUAUUUUUGCGAGAAUUGAUUUUUUGUUUUUUUCCAUUCUCCCAUCUUUAACGGGUUGCCGUCUUUUCGCUGCCUUUGAACAGAUUCAUUACCGUGAAUUUCAUUUUUCUUUAGAGGGAAAAAUGAAAUAACGAAAUGUCAUGUCGUUACCGUUUUCUCUUAUUUCCUUGAACGCAAAAAGAAAUUGGAAAUGUCGCCAAUGCAAGAGUCACAUUUCUCGGAAUAAUUAAUAAAAAAAAAAUGGUUGAAAACGACAGACCCGGACGGCCGAGUGAUUCGCAGCUAUUUUCAAAUGAAUGACUUUGUGUUGAUAUUCCCCCCUUUUUUUUUAUGGUGUUCCAGUAGUCGAGAGAGAGAGAGAAAGGAUGGUAAUUUGAAUUGUGUGUGUGUGUGUGUGAGAGCAACGCCAAUGGCAGCUCUUUUUCGUUCACAGUGAACUCGCCGUAUAGACUGUCGUAACAGCUCGCCAGCUAUAACUAUGGCCUCUAUUGAAUUGGUUUUCUUUUAUUCCUCUGUUUUUGUCUGUUCGGUUUCUGUCACUGCGUCUAUUCCCGUUAAUUCAACUGUUGAAUGAUUGUCGCCAGUGCUCCUCCUAGUCGACGAGUAGCUAUCCCGCCAAAUUCGGGUACUGUAAAAUGGACGGCAAUGAAUAAAGAGUCGACGGUGCUGGGGAAUUCCGCUCGAUUGGAAAUGA